GCGGGAGGCGGUGGGCGUGGCCGCGCCGCUCCCGUCCCCGCCGGCGGCGCCAAACUCUAAAUUUACAGCGGACUGUACGUUCUGAUUUACAAUAAAAACAAGUUAAAACUUUCAACAACGGAUCUCUUGGUUCUGGCAUCGAUGAAGAACGCAGCGAAAUGCGAUAAGUAAUGUGAAUUGCAGAAUUCAGUGAACCAUCGAAUCUUUGAACGCACAUUGCGCCCGGCAGUAAUCUGCCGGGCAUGCCUGUCCGAGCGUCAUUUCUGCCCUCGAGCGAGUCCAGCAUCUAGGUGCUGGGCCUCGCCCGGCGUUGGGGCACUACGGGAAGCCCUGUGCUGUCCCCCGUAGGCCCCGAAAUGAAGUGGCGGUCCUGCCGCGGCGCCCCCUGCGUAGUAUAACAGCUCGCUUCGGGACCCGGUGGAGGCCUGCCGUCAAACCUAUACUCUCUAAGUUUGACCUCGGAUCAGGUAGGGUUACCCGCUGAACUUAAGCAUAUCAA
rnacentral:rRNA from 1 species